GACGAACGCUGGCGGCGUGCUUAACACAUGCAAGUCGAACGGAAAGGCCCUGCUUUUGUGGGGUGCUCGAGUGGCGCACGGGUGAGUAACCCGUGAGUAACCUGCCCUUGACUUUGGGAUAACUUCAGGAAACUGGGGCUAAUACCGGCUAGGAGCUCCUGCUGCAUGGUGGGGGUUGGAAAGUUUGGGCGGUUGGGGAUGGACUCGCGGCUUAUCAGCUUGUUGGUGGGGUAGUGGCUUACCAAGGCUUUGACGGGUAGCCGGCCUGAGAGGGGGACCGGCCACAUGGGGACUGAGAUACGGCCCAGACUCCUACGGGAGGCAGCAGUGGGGAAUAUUGCACAAUGGGCGGAAGCCUGAUGCAGCAACGCCGCGUGCGGGAUGACGGCCUUCGGGUUGUAAACCGCUUUCGCCUGUGACGAAGCGUGAGUGACGGUAAUGGGUAAAGAAGCACCGGCUAACUACGUG
rnacentral:rRNA from 1 species